rnacentral:tRNA from 1 species
GAGGGUAUAGUUCAGUGGUAGAGUGUGUGCUUGGCGUGCACGAGGUCCUGGGUUCAAUCCCCAGUACCUCCA